rnacentral:lncRNA from 1 species
UGCUUAUGAAUCGCCCGUAGAGCAUCUUUUGGGAGCUCUUUAUUUUCUUUGAGCUGAUUAACCACUGGCACAUUUAUGCAUGAAUAUGACUUGGUGAUAAGAUGACUGUAAGCUCUUCUGCUAGGUACUUAGAAACUUUCUCAUGCUUGCCACCAUGAUGACGUUUGUGAUCUCCUUUCUUGAUACUUGAUGCCUUCUCAUGAUGGACUUGCUAAGAUUACUGUGAGCUCUUCUCUAUGGUACUUAGAGUCUUCCCAUAAUGGACACAAAGAUAACAUGACGCUCUUCUUUCUCUUGGCAGUUUAGAACACUCUUCAUGUAGUAGAACUCUCACUUCUACAUUGUAGAACUCUCACUUCUACUUCUUCCUUUGUAUGUCUCUGAGUGUUCUUGGUGGAUCGUAGAGUGAGCCUUCAGACUCACUAUUUUACAUGGUUUAGAAUAGUCCAUCAUUAUUCCAAACUCAGCAACUCCAGCAACCCUAGAUCUUUGAAGCUCUUCCUAAUUUAUACUCCUUCCCAAUCCAUCCGUUGGAAAGUAGUCGUUGAAGGCUAUUCAAAUAUCUUCACAGAUCUUGAGUUGACAGAGGUAGACUGCUGAUGUGACUAGUCAUACUUUCUCUGACACUACAGUCUAUUAUUUCACCUAUCCCAUCAGAGAUGUCACUUUAAUGUCUUGGGCAGGUCGAAGACUUUAUUUACUCAUUCUGAUUUCUCGAUCAGAGGUUGUCCUUUUUCAUCGAUGCUUUCUAUAAGCACUUGUCCGAAUAUUACCCUUUAGAUUGAACCGUUGCCAAUGCUUCAGUCUUCAAUUAUUCAAACUCUACGAUUCUGAUGCAUGUCUUCAUGGACCUGAUCGUAGUGUCAUGUUGACUGGUAGAAACAACACUACAAUCUUGAAGAGUGUUGAUUGAAUCUUCAAUGUGGAACACCUCUUCCUUCUCUUGUGCAGUACUUCAACACUUCUAUUUGCCUCAACAGUUCUCAGAUACUGAUGACUUGACUUCUUUGUUUUGGCCCCUUCUGAAUAGCUAGACACUUCAUAUUUGUGGCGUGUCCAGCUCACUUUCUCCUUGUGAUCUCCCGUUCACUGAUCAUCAAUGGACUGACCCAAUGCUUAAUCACUUUAGCCUUGUUCUUUAGAAGUUGUCUAGUAUCUCUGUAUGUACUUCAUCAGUUCUUUCUUUAUUUGGCAAACACUACGAUCCUAGUUGCUUCCAAGAUCGUUGUCUUCUGUCUGCUUUGACAGCUACUGCACUUGCUGACUUUCCUUAGUUAGUUACUGAAGUCUUCUUCUGAUUUCCUUGUGGAAGACUUCAUCUCGAAUGGCUUCACAACUCAAUCUUGAUGCUGAUUGGGUUUGUGCUUAGAUCUUCUAUUAGCUUACAUGUCAUUCGUUGAGUGCUUUCUGGUUUCCUUGGAUGUAAUAUUGCAGUGCUGACCAAAGGCUUCAUUCCUUUGGAUAUUCUGGGAGUGCUCAUUUGUUGAGAAUCGUAUUUGUUCUACGAUUCUGCCUUGGCAUUGUGAGCACAUCUGUUGAGGUCGUAGUUCUUCACUCUACGAUUCAGCUUCGGCUGUUCAGACACUACGACUCCGAGAUCAGAUCUUGACACUAUACGAUUUCUGCCUUGUGCUUGUUGUCUUCAUCUGAUCUUGCUCGACUGCAAUCUCUGCAUGUAAUCAAUAGACUCUACGACUCAGAGUGUACUCUACGAUCCUUGACUUGGCUUCGGCAUCAGUAGACUCUACGACUCCAAGUGUAGUCUACGUUUCUGACUUGGCUUCGGCAGAUGUUCGAUCGGCUCAUAGGUAGGCUGUCUCUACGAUUCUAAACAUGACUUCCUCAGCUGACUUCGGCCCUAAGGAAGUUCUACUCGACACACUACGAUCCUUCAUCGUUUCUCCUGGCAGUCUACGAACUCUGAGAUCUACUAUCUUGCAGACUACAAUUCUGUCUCGACAGCUCUCGAGUUCUCCUUAACUCUCCUGGCAGACUACGAUUUUUGGUGCAGUGCUCGACGAUCAGAC